rnacentral:rRNA from 1 species
GAUGAACGCUGGCGGCGUGCUUAACACAUGCAAGUCGAACGAUGAAGCCCAGCUUGCUGGGUGGAUUAGUGGCGAACGGGUGAGUAACACGUGAGUAACCUGCCCUUAACUCUGGGAUAAGCCUGGGAAACUGGGUCUAAUACCGGAUAGGAGCGUCCACCGCAUGGUGGGUGUUGGAAAGAUUUAUCGGUUUUGGAUGGACUCGCGGCCUAUCAGCUUGUUGGUGAGGGAAUGGCUCACCAAGGCGACGACGGGUAGCCGGCCUGGGAGGGUGACCGGCCACACUGGGACUGAGACACGGCCCAGACUCCAACGGGAGGCAGCAGUGGGGAAUAUUGCACAAUGGGCGCAAGCCUGAUGCAGCGACGCCGCGUGAGGGAUGACGGCCUUCGGGUUGUAAACCUCUUUCAGUAGGGAAGAAGCGAAAGUGACGGUACCUGUAGAAGAAGCACCGGCUAACUACGUG